AGCUUGCUUUUGAAGAUGACGAGCGGCGGACGGGUGAGUAAUGCCUGGGAAUUUGCCCAUUUGUGGGGGAUAACAGUUGGAAACGACUGCUAAUACCGCAUACGCCCUACGGGGGAAAGCAGGGGACCUUCGGGCCUUGCGCUGAUGGAUAAGCCCAGGUGGGAUUAGCUAGUAGGUGAGGUAAAGGCUCACCUAGGCGACGAUCCCUAGCUGGUCUGAGAGGAUGAUCAGCCACACUGGGACUGAGACACGGCCCAGACUCCUACGGGAGGCAGCAGUGGGGAAUAUUGCACAAUGGGGGAAACCCUGAUGCAGCCAUGCCGCGUGUGUGAAGAAGGCCUUCGGGUUGUAAAGCACUUUCAGCGAGGAGGAAAGGGUGUAAGUUAAUACCUUACAUCUGUGACGUUACUCGCAGAAGAAGCACCGGCUAACUCCGUGCCAGCAGCCGCGGUAAUACGGAGGGUGCGAGCGUUAAUCGGAAUUACUGGGCGUAAAGCGUGCGCAGGCGGUUUGUUAAGCGAGAUGUGAAAGCCCCGGGCUCAACCUGGGAACCGCAUUUCGAACUGGCAAACUAGAGUCUUGUAGAGGGGGGUAGAAUUCCAGGUGUAGCGGUGAAAUGCGUAGAGAUCU
rnacentral:rRNA from 1 species